AAGGGAGAGUAACGGGUGGUUACUUACCCUCAGGACCGGAAUAGUGUCGGGAAACUGACAGUAAUGCCGGAUAAUAUCUUUGGAUCAAAGGUGUGAUUCCGCCUGGGGAUAGGACCGCUUUCUAUUAGCUUGUUGGCGGGGUAAUGGCCCACCAAGGCUGAGAUGGAUACCGGGUGUGAGAGCAUGGCCCGGCUCACUGGGACUGAGACACUGCCCAGACACCUACGGGUGGCUGCAGUCGAGAAUCUUCGGCAAUGGGCGAAAGCCUGACCGAGCGACGCCGCGUGCGGGAUGAAGGCCUUCGGGUUGUAAACCGCUGUCAGUUGGGAGGAAGGUGCUGUGAAGAGCAGCAUUUGACCGAUCCUCAGAGGAAGGACGGGCUAAGUUCGUGCCAGCAGCCGCGGUAAGACGAACCGUCCGAACGUUAUUCGGUAUCACUGGGCUUAAAGAGUUCGUAGGCGGCCUAGCAGGUGAGGUGUGAAAUCCAACGGCUCAACCGUUGAAUUGCGCUUCAAACCACUAGGCUCGAGGAUGGCAGGGGUGUUGGGAACAGAUGGUGGAGCGGUGAAAUGCGUUGA
rnacentral:rRNA from 1 species